CUUGCCUAAAAGGAAACAAGGAAACAAACCAAAAAACAACAGCUGAAAAGGCUAUAGGUUGGAAGUAGUAUUGCCCUGAGGCCCCCACACAAAAUUGAAGUCCUGUUGUGUCUGGAACUGGAGAAACUCACAGGAAGGCUUCAAAUAUUAUCUCAAACAGCAGUGAAGGAGCUGUUGUACUAAGCAACAAGGU
rnacentral:lncRNA from 1 species